AAGAGAGCUACUCGCAGUGAGUUCAGGGGGACUGAGACAAAGUCCAGUGGAGCAAGGACACUCUAAAAUUUUCAUGCCUGUGGACUAACAUUAUCACGGGUGGAUUCCAUGUCUUUCCUUCGGUGGAUGUCUGAAAAAUUUAUUCUUGAGGGCUUACGGGAAUUGGAACUCUUUGGAGACCAAUGAAGCAAGUUCAGAGUCAAUAGCAU
rnacentral:lncRNA from 1 species